UGUGUGCACACAUGCAUAUGUGUGUGCAUGGUCAACACAGCGUUAAAUUAGCUGGUGGAAUUGUCAGAGACAUCAUUAAGCUGUUAUUAAUAUCAGCCAGGUAGCGUCCAUACAUCACCACUUCUAAACAGACAGGUUCAUCUCUGCUGGGACGGCUGGAGGAGGCAGAGUGCCCCGCUUCCUCUUCCUGGGGCAAUUAAUAGUUGUUGGGGGUUUUUUCCACCGUAACCGACAAUAAGAAGUGAGGGAAAAGCUAAAGAAGAAGAAGAAAAGUAGAAUGUCUGACCUUCUAAGAAACAAGGCUUUACUCUUCGAUUUUUUUCUCUUUUCUAUUUCUUUCAUGCUUUGCAUCUUUUCUCUCUCUCUCUCUUUCCUGCGCUCCACUCCCCCAGCGUGAAACAUUACUUUUAUGCCUCCAGUCCAGCUUUAUUGGAAAAAAAGAGGACUUUCACGCUGUUGAAAAUGUCAGUAGGCCUAAAUAACACACAUAUGCCUUUUCACAACCCUGGCCCCUUUAAAAAAAAAAGAAAAGGGAAGGUGGAGGAAAAAAAUUGCAGAACUGGUGGCGGCACAGAGUGAGUGCAGUGAAAAGGUUACGGAGGGAGAGAAGAGGGCAGGCAGGAUGGCGUGAACGCAGAGAAGCGGCGUCCCGCUCUCUGCGGGGGGAGGUGUAAAAAGCAGAAGUGUUUCAGCGCCGGAUCGAUGGAGCUAACUCCACGGAGGCUUUCAUAAUUGACCACUGUAAACGAGUGCGUGCACGAGUGUUGUGUUUAUGCGCGCUUGAAAUGAUGUUUCUGAGAAAAGGGACCAACUGGAUGGGGGUUUUUUUCUCCCUCUCCUUCAGAUUGCUAAAACCUUUAUCUUUGCUUGCUGUCUGCUCUGUUCUUAGUCUUUACCAAUCCUUCAGUCUCAGAUUUAUUCUUCUCGAUCUGCUCUUUCCUUCUCUAUUUUUUCCCCCCCUGUCAAUUUCACCUCCUUUUCCCUCCUUCCUGCCCCUUCCUCUCGUCUUUAGGCGUGUGGUUCUGGGUCACCCUGCCCCAGUGAGACAGCAGAGCCCAGCCCAGAACAGGCCAGUCCAGAGGCUGGGAGCUAGAUGGCAGCAGGGCAGGAAGGGGAAGGAUCCUCUCUACGCCCAGAUCAACAAGGGGAAGAAAUAAAGAGAUACCCAGGAAGACAGACCUGACCAGCACUGAGUGAACAGGAGGAGAACCCUUUACCUCUGAGUGUGUGUGUGCGUGCGUGUGUGUGUGUUUGCGUGUGCUUGCAUGUCUGGCACAUCCCCGCCUGGCCAAGCCCUUCAUCUUCUUUUCCUGCUAACAACCUCCCAGGAGGAGCUUCAACACUCCCACAAGCCUCCUCCUACUCCUCCUCCUCCCUGCAGUCGUUCCUCCUCCUCAGAGGAGCGAGCCCUCUCAGUCAUUCUCCACAGGCAGGAGGGACAUCCAUCACCCAGACAGGUCCAGCUCUCCCUCCGCCACGCUGUCUUCUCCGCUCCUCUCUCCUCUCCCCUUUGGCGACUCACACCCAGCCUUACGGACAUGAGCCACUCCUCUCCCUCCUUUCUUUCCCUCCCUCCGUCACUUUCACACCCUUUCCUCUGCCUAUCGUGUCUGACCAGAGACUCUGCUGCCUGGAAGAGACUGAGUCGAGCAGUGCCUCCCUGUUUGUGACACGCACACACACGCAUACGCACGCACACACUUUGCACUCGUCGUGUGUAACGGACAGAACCUGCAUCCGUCUAGCGAGGCGAUCCCUCGGGGAGGUGCCCAGACUCUUAGGGAUGGCCCGUUACCGGGGAGGGUGAUCACUGCUUCUGAUUGGUUGGCUGAUUGAUUUUUGGGUAUUUUCUGCCCCUUGCUUGUGAGUGUCUGCUGGAUCACUAUGCAGAAUCAGACUCUCUGGGAGCUACUCACACACCAACUCCACGCACCCUUUGCACACAGCAGUGAGCCUACAUGCAAAGACACACGCACACACACACACACACACACACACACACACACACACACACACACACACACACACACAGAGCCAUGCCCACACCUUGUGUAACAUGUGUACACUCAGUAAUUUGCCAAACGUCUCUGCGGCGCACAGCCAGACUGGCAAACCAGACCGCUGGUGGAGGAAUGGACCCCGGGAGGGAAGAGCUGCGAGUUGAAACAGAUUCUGUGAUUGAACUCUUCAUUCUCUAUAGCUUUUUGUACAAUAAUGAUUAAAAAAAAAAAAAAAAAAAAGGAAAAAA